UACGAAGGGGGCUAGCGUUGCUCGGAAUUACUGGGCGUAAAGCGCACGUAGGCGGUCUUUUAAGUCGGGGUGAAAUCCUGGAGCUCAACUCCAGAACUGCCUUCGAUACUGGAAGACUUGAGUCCGGGAGAGGUGAGUGGAACUGCGAGUGUAGAGGUGAAAUUCGUAGAUAUUCGCAAGAACACCAGUGGCGAAGGCGGCUCACUGGCCCGGUACUGACGCUGAGGUGCGAAAGCGUGGGAGCAAACAGGG
rnacentral:rRNA from 1 species